AACUAAGCUUGUUAUUGGUAUGAGCUUUCGUGUGCAUGCACACUGUGUAUCUGAAGAAGUAUUUGAAGAAGUGUGCAUGCACACGAAAGCUCAUAUCAAUAACAAGCUUAGUUG